GUCUGGAUGGCACAAUGGUCAGUGUAUCUGCCUAGCAAGCAGAAUAUCCGGGUUCGAAUCCCAGUCUGGUACA